GGAGAGGUGGCUGAGUGGCCGAAAGUAACGGUUUGCUAAACCGUCGUAGGGAUAAUCCCCUACCGAGGGUUCGAAUCCCUCCCUCUCCGCCA
rnacentral:tRNA from 1 species